GGCUCGUUGGUCUAGGGGUAUGAUUCCUGCUUUGGGUGCAGGAGGUCCCGGGUUCAAAUCCCGGACGAGCACU
rnacentral:tRNA from 1 species